rnacentral:tRNA from 1 species
UAGAAAGUGGUGUAGAGGAAGCACUAAGAGUUUUGAGCUCUUCAGUAAGGGUUCAAGUCCCUUUUUUCUAA